UACGGAGGGUGCAAGCGUUAUUCGGAAUUACUGGGCGUAAAGCGCGUGUAGGCGGGAAGGUAAGUCUGAUGUGAAAGCCCUGGGCUCAACCUGGGAAGUGCAUUGGGUACUGCUUUUCUUGAGUUCUGGAGAGGAUGGGGGAAUUCCCGGUGUAGAGGUGAAAUUCGUAGAGAUCGGGAGGAAUAUCAGUGGCGAAGGCGCCCAUCUGGACGGCAACUGACGCUGAGACGCGAAAGCGUGGGGAGCAAACAGG
rnacentral:rRNA from 1 species